AUUGAACGCUGGCGGCAUGCUUUACACAUGCAAGUCGAACGGUAACAGGUCUUCGGAUGCUGACGAGUGGCGAACGGGUGAGUAAUGCAUCGGAACGUGCCCAGUCGUGGGGGAUAACGCAGCGAAAGCUGUGCUAAUACCGCAUACGAUCUAUGGAUGAAAGCGGGGGACCUUAGGGCCUCGCGCGAUUGGAGCGGCCGAUGUCAGAUUAGCUAGUUGGUGGGGUAAAGGCCCACCAAGGCGACGAUCUGUAGCUGGUCUGAGAGGACGACCAGCCACACUGGGACUGAGACACGGCCCAGACUCCUACGGGAGGCAGCAGUGGGGAAUUUUGGACAAUGGGCGCAAGCCUGAUCCAGCAAUGCCGCGUGCAGGAAGAAGGCCUUCGGGUGUAAACUGCUUUUGUACGGAACGAAAAGGACUCUGGUUAAUACCUGGGCUCAUGACGGUACCGUAAGAAUAAGACACCGGCUAACUACGU
rnacentral:rRNA from 1 species